GGCCGGUUAGCUCAGUCAGUUGAGCGUGGCGCUAACAACGCCAACGUCGUGGGUUCGAUUCUCAUUUGGUCCC
rnacentral:tRNA from 1 species